UACGUAGGGUGCGAGCGUUGUCCGGAAUUAUUGGGCGUAAAGAGCUCGUAGGCGGUCUGUCACGUCGGAUGUGAAAGUCCGGGGCUCAACUCCGGAUCUGCGGUGGGUACGGGCAGACUAGAGUGAUGUAGGGGAGACUGGAAUUCCUGGUGUAGCGGUGAAAUGCGCAGAUAUCAGGAGGAACACCGAUGGCGAAGGCAGGUCUCUGGGCAUUAACUGACGCUGAGGAGCGAAAGCAUGGGGAGCGAACAGG
rnacentral:rRNA from 1 species